ACGGUAACAGGGGAGCUUGCUCCCGCUGACGAGUGGCGAACGGGUGAGUAAUGCAUCGGAACGUGCCGAAUAGUGGGGGAUAACGCACCGAAAGGUGUGCUAAUACCGCAUACGCCCUGAGGGGGAAAGUGGGGGACCGCAAGGCCUCACGCUAAUUGAGCGGCCGAUGUCGGAUUAGCUAGUUGGUGGGGUAAAGGCUCACCAAGGCGACGAUCCGUAGCGGGUCUGAGAGGAUGAUCCGCCACACUGGGACUGAGACACGGCCCAGACUCCUACGGGAGGCAGCAGUGGGGAAUUUUGGACAAUGGGGGAAACCCUGAUCCAGCCAUGCCGCGUGUCUGAAGAAGGCCUUCGGGUUGUAAAGGACUUUUGUCCGGGAGGAAACCCUGAUCGUUAAUAGCGGUCGGGACUGACAGUACCGGAAGAAUAAGCACCGGCUAACUACGUGCCAGCAGCCGCGGUAAUACGUAGGGUGCAAGCGUUAAUCGGAAUUACUGGGCGUAAAGCGUGCGCAGGCGGUGAGAUAAGUCAGCUGUGAAAGCCCCGGGCUCAACCUGGGAACUGCGGCCGAAACUGUCUCGCUAGAGUACGUCAGAGGGGGGUGGAAUUCCACGUGUAGCAGUGAAAUGCGUAGAGAUGUGGAGGAACACCA
rnacentral:rRNA from 1 species